rnacentral:tRNA from 1 species
GCCAGUGUGGCAUAGUGGUUUGAGUGUUGGGCUAUGACUCUGAAGACCAUGGUUCGGUUCCCAACUCGGUCA